rnacentral:rRNA from 1 species
GUGAGGAAUUUUCCGCAAUGGGCGAAAGCCUGACGGAGCAAUGCCGCGUGAAGGAUGAAGGCCUAUGGGUUGUAAACUUCUUUUCUCAGAAAAGAAUUAUGACGGUAUCUGAGGAAUAAGCAUCGGCUAACUCUGUGCCAGCAGCCGCGGUAAGACAGAGGAUGCAAGCGUUAUCCGGAAUGAUUGGGCGUAAAGCGUCUGUAGGUUGUUUAAAAGGUAUUCUGUCAAAGAUUAGGGCUUAACCCUAGAUAGGCAGAAUAAACUUUUAAGCUAGAGUUUGGUAGAGGCAGAGGGAAUUCCCGGUGGAGCGGUGAAAUGCGUAGAUAUCGGGAGGAACACCAAAGGCGAAGGCACUCUGCUGGGCCAAUACUAACACUGAGAGACGAAAGCGAGGGGAGCAAAUGGGAUUAGAUACCCUUGUAGUCC